GACUUUGAAUUUAAAAGCAGCGUACCAUAACAUUUCGAUAUACUUUAUAUAGAAAUCAAAGUAUUAUGCGUUUGUCGAUUAAUAUUGAAAUUUUCUACUUAUAUGCAUUGUAAAUUAAUAUAUUAAUAUAUAUCAAUAUACCUUUAUUGGAUGUAUUUGAAAUGCGUGUCUAACAAUUAAAUUGCGAAUCAUUAGAUCCUUCUGCAAUAAGGACGAACUUAUUCCGGAUGAAUCUAUUAAGCUGAGGGAAUAUUGGUCACUGCGGUUAAAUCGAUCAAGCAGAGCGGAGGCAGGGCCAAAUAAUUUAUUUAUGGAUAAAAAGUUACAUUAAAUUAUUUUUUUAUAUGCGCAUGGAAUUUAAAAAAUUAAACAGGUUUUCAUGACUUUUGUGAUUGAAUGGUCGUAUGACUGACUAAUUUAUGACUUUACAUGAUAAUGAAUGCAAGUCAAUGCAUAUGCACUAUAUUUCCUAGUCCCAACAAGUAAG